rnacentral:rRNA from 1 species
CCUACGGGUGGCAGCAGUGAGGAAUAUUGGUCAAUGGACGGAAGUCUGAACCAGCCAUGCCGCGUGCAGGAAGACGGCUCUAUGAGUUGUAAACUGCUUUUGUACAAGGGUAAACCUGAAUACGUGUAUUCAGCUGAAAGUACUGUACGAAUAAGGAUCGGCUAACUCCGUGCCAGCAGCCGCGGUAAUACGGAGGAUCCAAGCGUUAUCCGGAUUUAUUGGGUUUCAAGGGUGCGUAGGCGGGUUGAUAAGUUAGGGGUGAAAUGGUCGGGCAUAACUCGGGAACUGCCGCUAAUACUGUUGAUCUAGAGAGUAGGUGCGGUAGGCGGAAUGUGUGGUGUAGCGGUGAAAUGCUUAGAGAUCAUACAGAACACCGAUUGCGAAGGCAGCUUACCAGUGUAUAUCUGACGUUGAGGCACGAAAGCGUGGGGAUCAAACAGGAUUAGAUACCCCAGUAGUC